rnacentral:rRNA from 1 species
GUAGGAUGCAAGCGUUGUCCGGAUUUAUUGGGCGUAAAGAGUUCGUAGGUGGUUCGUUAAGUCUGAUGUUAAAGACUGGGGCUCAACCCUGGAAGUGCAUUGGAUACUGGCGGACUUGAGUGUGGUAGAGGCAAUCGGAAUUCCAGGUGUAGCGGUGAAAUGCGUAGAUAUCUGGAAGAACACCGGUGGCGCAAGCGGAUUGCUGGGCCAUAACUGACACUGAGGAACGAAAGCUAGGGGAGCGAAUGGGAUUAGAUACCCCAGUAGUCCUAGCCGUAAACGAUGGAUACUAGGCGUAUCGGGUAUCGACCCCUGAUGUGCCGCAGCUAACGCGAUAAGUAUCCCGCCUGAGUAGUACGGCCGCAAGGUUG